AAAUUGAAGAGUUUGAUCAUGGCUCAGAUUGAACGCUGGCGGCAGGCCUAACACAUGCAAGUCGAACGGUAACAGGAAACAGCUUGCUGUUUCGCUGACGAGUGGCGGACGGGUGAGUAAUGUCUGGGAAACUGCCUGAUGGAGGGGGAUAACUACUGGAAACGGUAGCUAAUACCGCAUAACGUCGCAAGACCAAAGAGGGGGACCUUCGGGCCUCUUGCCAUCGGAUGUGCCCAGAUGGGAUUAGCUAGUAGGUGGGGUAACGGCUCACCUAGGCGACGAUCCCUAGCUGGUCUGAGAGGAUGACCAGCCACACUGGAACUGAGACACGGUCCAGACUCCUACGGGAGGCAGCAGUGGGGAAUAUUGCACAAUGGGCGCAAGCCUGAUGCAGCCAUGCCGCGUGUAUGAAGAAGGCCUUCGGGUUGUAAAGUACUUUCAGCGGGGAGGAAGGGAGUAAAGUUAAUACCUUUGCUCAUUGACGUUACCCGCAGAAGAAGCACCGGCUAACUCCGUGCCAGCAGCCGCGGUAAUACGGAGGGUGCAAGCGUUAAUCGGAAUUACUGGGCGUAAAGCGCACGCAGGCGGUUUGUUAAGUCAGAUGUGAAAUCCCCGGGCUCAACCUGGGAACUGCAUCUGAUACUGGCAAGCUUGAGUCUCGUAGAGGGGGUAGAAUUCCAGGUGUAGCGGUGAAAUGCGUAGAGAUCUGGAGGAAUACCGGUGGCGAAGGCGGCCCCCUGGACGAAGACUGACGCUCAGGUGCGAAAGCGUGGGGAGCAAACAGGAUUAGAUACCCUGGUAGUCCACGCUGUAAACGAUGUCGACUUGGAGGUUGUGCCCUUGAGGUGUGGCUUCCGGAGCUAACGCGUUAAGUCGACCGCCUGGGGAGUACGGCCGCAAGGUUAAAACUCAAAUGAAUUGACGGGGGCCCGCACAAGCGGUGGAGCAUGUGGUUUAAUUCGAUGCAACGCGAAGAACCUUACCUGGUCUUGACAUCCACGGAAGUUUUCAGAGAUGAGAAUGUGCCUUCGGGAACCGUGAGACAGGUGCUGCAUGGCUGUCGUCAGCUCGUGUUGUGAAAUGUUGGGUUAAGUCCCGCAACGAGCGCAACCCUUAUCCUUUGUUGCCAGCGGUCCGGCCGGGAACUCAAAGGAGACUGCCAGUGAUAAACUGGAGGAAGGUGGGGAUGACGUCAAGUCAUCAUGGCCCUUACGACCAGGGCUACACACGUGCUACAAUGGCGCAUACAAAGAGAAGCGACCUCGCGAGAGCAAGCGGACCUCAUAAAGUGCGUCGUAGUCCGGAUUGAGUCUGCAACUCGACUCCAUGAAGUCGGAAUCGCUAGUAAUCGUGGAUCAGAAUGCCACGGUGAAUACGUUCCCGGGCCUUGUACACACCGCCCGUCACACCAUGGGAGUGGGUUGCAAAAGAAGUAGGUAGCUUAACCUUCGGGAGGGCGCUUACCACUUUGUGAUUCAUGACUGGGGUGAAGUCGUAACAAGGUAACCGUAGGGGAACCUGCGGUUGGAUCACCUCCUUACCUUAAAGAAGC
rnacentral:rRNA from 1 species